AGCCGGGUCCUGCGCAACGAAACCCCGCGAACCCCGCCAGGUCCGGAAGGAAGCAACGGUAGUGGGGCCCUUCGUGUGCUGCAGGGGUGCCCGGCUAUC
rnacentral:SRP_RNA from 1 species